UACGGGGGGAGCAAGCGUUUGUUCGGAUUUACUGGGCGUAAAGGGCGCGUAGGCGGUCAGCACAAGUCAGUUGUGAAAUCUCCGGGCUUAACUCGGAAAGGUCAACUGAUACUGUGCGACUAGAAUGCGGAAGGGGCAACUGGAAUUCUCGGUGUAGCGGUGAAAUGCGUAGAUAUCGAGAGGAACACCUGCGGCGAAGGCGGGUUGCUGGGCCGACACUGACGCUGAUGCGCGAAAGCCAGGGGAGCGAACGGG
rnacentral:rRNA from 1 species